UGGGGAAUUUUGGACAAUGGGGGGAACCCUGAUCCAGCAAUGCCGCGUGAGUGAAGAAGGCCUUCGGGUUGUAAAGCUCUUUUGUCGGGGAAGAAAAGGCUGAUGCGAAUAGUGUCAGCUGCUGACGGUACCCGAAGAAUAAGCACCGGCUAACUACGUGCCAGCAGCCGCGGUAAUACGUAGGGUGCGAGCGUUAAUCGGAAUUACUGGGCGUAAAGGGUGCGCAGGCGGUGUAUUAAGUCUGACGUGAAAUCCCCGGGCUCAACCUGGGAAUGGCGUUGGAGACUGGUACGCUUGAGUGUGUCAGAGGGGGGUAGAAUUCCACGUGUAGCAGUGAAAUGCGUAGAUAUGUGGAGGAAUACCGAUGGCGAAGGCAGCCUCCUGGGAUAACACUGACGCU
rnacentral:rRNA from 1 species